AUUGAACGCUGGCGGAAUGCUUUACACAUGCAAGUCGAACGGUAGAGGGGGCAACCCCUCGAGAGUGGCGAACGGGUGAGUAAUAUAUUGGAACGUGCCCAGUCGUGGGGGAUAACGUAGCGAAAGUUACGCUAAUACCGCAUACGAUCUAAGGAUGAAAGCGGGGGAUCGCAAGACCUCGCGCGAUUGGAGCGGCCGAUAUCAGAUUAGGUAGUUGGUGGGGUAAAGGCUCACCAAGCCAACGAUCUGUAGCUGGUCUGAGAGGACGACCAGCCACACUGGAACUGAGACACGGUCCAGACUCCUACGGGAGGCAGCAGUGGGGAAUUUUGGACAAUGGACGCAAGUCUGAUCCAGCCAUUCCGCGUGCAGGAUGAAGGCCCUCGGGUUGUAAACUGCUUUUGUACGGAACGAAAAGGUCUCUCUUAAUACGGGGGACUCAUGACGGUACCGUAAGAAUAAGCACCGGCCAACUACGUGCCAGCCGCCGCAGUAAGAC
rnacentral:rRNA from 1 species